AAGGAGGCUUUCGUGGUCCAUUAACUUUGGCAUAGACCUAUUUUUGUGAUAUUCAUACCAUAUAAAUCAUUCUGAGUGUGGCCAUGAAUAGCAACAAAACAAAACACUGCAGAAUAUGAGAUGACUUGGCUGGGUACAUUUUACAUCAGAUUUUUAUUUGCAGUUGUAAAAAUAAAAUAAAUCUUUCAUCAUUAUUCGUAAUUACUUUUUUUUUUUUAAAUCAGGUAUCUGCUGAACCUGAUGGUGCCACAUAUGUCUUUCAAGGAUUCAUACAAGGAGAAGACUAUGGGCAAUUUGGAGUCCAAAGACUAGGUCUGAACUCAAGUCAUGGCUCAAAUUCUCCCAAUCAACCACAUGGUACAAAUAGUAGCUCUGUUGCCAUCGCCAUCCUUGUGCCUUUCUUUGCUCUUAUAUUUGCAGGAUUUGGGUUUUAUCUUUAUAAACAAAGGACUGCUCCCAAGACGCAGUACACUGGCUGCUCUGUACAUGAAAACAAUAAUGGGCAAGCAGCUUUUGAAAAUCCAAUGUACGAUACAAAUGCAAAAUCAGCAGAAGGAAAGGCAGUUCGAUUUGAUCCCAAUCUCAACACAGUCUGUACAAUGGUAUAAAGCAGAAACUUGGUUUGAUUACAUAGCCUGAUAUACAUCUAGCGCUUUGCAUCCUUGGGACAUCUAGAUUCUGACUAAACCAACUUAUGUACAAUGCACAUUUGGUUCACUGCUAUUUAAAGCACACUUUUCAGGAAUUUAACGUACCAGAUUUAUCUGAAGAACCAGAAAAAAAGAACACGUUUUCAUGGCUCACCCAGUUGGAACAGAUAUGCUCUUCGUUCUGUAACUUUUCGGCAACUUUAGCUGCACUCUAAGAGUGCUUAGCCACAAUUUUUUCAAAAAAAAAUCCUAAGUACUUUCUCAGAAGAAAACUGCAGAUAUUUGAGGAGCAUUGAAACAGUUUUCAAUGUUGCUAACAAUAUGGGCUAGGAUUUGGCAUGAGGUCGGAACACUGCAUAUGUAACAAAGACCAUGAAGUACUGUAUAGUAAGAUUAUUACAGGUUUUGCUUUCUAGUGUAAGUGUAAAAAGAAAACUUUGUAAGGUACAACUGCGAAACUGAUUUUGAAUAUUUGAGUAUAAAACAGCCAGUGUGGUACUCACUAAACCGAUUUCUAUGGAACACUCUCAAUCUUUUUUGAUCACCAAGAAAAAUCACUUCAUUUAUUCAAUUUUUCCUCCAUAUUUUUUGAUUUAAAUUGGUAUUCUUCGUACAAAAUAUAGAAUUCUUGCCAGAGUAAAAUGAAAAAUAUUUAUACUAUAUCAUUUUCAAAAUACGCAUAUGCACGAUGUGUUGCAUGCUUCAUUAUUAUUUAAUUAUUCUAUUGUGUUUUUAUUGCAACAAACCAUUUUAUUUAUUAUCUAAUAAAGUUAUGGUCUUAUGUAUCUGCUUACAAUAGUUCAUCCAGUCCCUUUCAACAUAAGGUGAUUUAUGGAAUGGAUGUCAUCCGUUUUGCAUUAUUAAUUUGGUAUUAUGGUUUUGGAUGUAUGGUAACUAGAGCCAACAUAUUUGGUUAAAUUUGAUUGGAAUCUUGUAAUACAGAAAGUGCAAAAAUAUAGACUACAGUACGAGAGGAUAUUACCUGUGCCAGUUGUUUGCCUUCCCCAUUCUUUAAUUAUGACAAUGCAUAUGUUUGUUUCCAUUGUGCAUCAGCACAGUGGAUGUAAAUGAAGUAUGAGUCUGUUUGUUAAUGAGACAAGAAAUGUAUCUCUCGCAUGGAUGAUUGUGAUGUAUCUUGGAGCUCAUCUUGAUAUCAGAUGUUUGUUCUACUGUGAGAAUGGCAGCCAAAUACCACACAACUCCUUGCACCCCAUGUGGUCACCUUCUUAACAUUUGCCUUAAUGGGUAGAGCUAUAUCAUACAAAACAUUGCAGAAGCAACAAGUCUCCACUAUUCAUUGCUAUUUAAUAGUUGUUCGCACUCUGCACUCAUUACAUGCAAAGGAUUAUUACCACUGUCAAAGAAAAGCACUCGCAUGAAAAGUUAAGAAGUACGAUCAAACUAAAGUAAUCUGUUUAAUUUUGCUGAAAGACUUAUUCACUAACUGGAGAUAUUAAUAUUGUUGUAACUGUAAUGUUUGCAUUGGGUCUACCAAACUUUGAUUGCAGCCAAGGUUGUUGGUCCUAACAUGUCCUGUGAGUGACUUACUUCCAGGAUUAAGACCGAGCAUUGGGCUCUAAAAUCCAAUUAUCUUUAAUCACCAGAAUUGAUUACAUUCAAAUGUAUGAAUUUCACAGUGCAUCUUAAGCUUCACUAAAAUCGACAGAAAUUAUUUAGUUAAAGUUGUCUCACAUGUUCCUACUCACCCAGGUUUAUAUCCAUUUGUGACUGCAAUAAACAGAGUAUGUCCACCAAAAUUAGAACAAUUAUUAAAUUGUACCUGAAACAAAUUUCAUGUACAACCUCCUUACUCCUCUGUAUCAUGUUUAUUAUAAUUAGAUGCAUAAAAAUUUCUUUUGUAAAGAAAUAUAUUUUUAUGAAAAAAAGAAUUUGUAAAAUGUAUGAAUCUAUGAUGUAA